rnacentral:lncRNA from 1 species
AUUCUGUCGUCAUUGUAGAAUAUCUCAUGAUGGCCACUUGAUCUACAAAAAUAAGAUCUGUUUCCCCUAUUUGCUAGUCACUGAGCACUACUGUGAGAAAGGAAUCAUUUCUGUACCUAGUCACAACCAGCCAAACACCAUGAACCCUUUCCUUCCUCUACAGGUUGGUGGGUGAGCAGCUGAUAUCUCAGGUUCUGAUGCCUACCUCGGGACCUGUCCCAUGGCCCAGCACACCAUACACAUUAAAAAUGUUCAUGGAAUGAACAUGCAUCAAGUGAGGUGAAUAGAAUCCUCUCUUCUUUGCAUGAGUCUCCAUGUUGCCAGUUUCCUAUUACCCUACUGAGUCAUUCAACCAGUUGCUGCAGUUGAAGCAGAAGGAAAAAAUCUAUUUCCACUGGCUGAUAGAUUUAGUCUGCAGUGGCACAGGAUAUAAUCCAUAUCUGACAACUUCACCUGAAAACUUGCUGGCCGACCGUCUGUCCUCAGUGACAUUCUGAGAUUCCUCAACUCCGAGCAAGAUGCUUGGGAGCAAAGCAGAAAAUAUCUUACAGUGUGAUCGGUUCUGUUCUCUCCAUCUGGAGCUAGCCUACAGGUUGAUUAUAUUUGAAUAUAUUUAACAUAACAUUAAAAUGGCACACAUCAUUUUGACUGGAAGUUUCACUCUUUUGCCAGCUCUCAUAUUUACUCCUUGUAUUUUUCCCUUUUAGUUCCAUUCUCUUCCGCUACAAAGAUGAAAUGUUUAACCCUAAAAGUGGAAAUCAAUCAUUAUGAAUCUGUUUCUUCCCACCAUCCAUUGCUUUUCUUUUUUUUAAUCUUUUUAAAAUAGUUUUUAACUUAUUUAUUUUGAGAGAGAAAAAGUGUGAGCAGGGGAGGGGCAGAGAGAGAGAGAGAGAAUCCCAAGCAGACUCUGCACUGUUAGCACAGAGUUUGAUGUGGGCUCGUAGUCACAAACCGUGAGAUCAUGACCCGAACAGAAACCAAGAGUCAGACACUUAACCGACUGACUCCCCGCAGGUGCCCCUCCAUUGCUUUUCUUUUGCAAAAUAGUUUUGCAUUUUCUUUUGCC